rnacentral:rRNA from 1 species
CCUACGGGAGGCAGCAGUGAGGAAUAUUGGUCAAUGGGCGGAAGCCUGAACCAGUCAAGUAGCGUGCGGGAUGAAGGCCCUACGGGUCGUAAACCGCUUUUGCACGGGGAUAACACCCUCCACUUGUGGAGGUCUGCAGGUACCGUGCGAAUAAGGGCCGGCUAAUUCCGUGCCAGCAGACGCGGUAAAACGGAAGGGCCGAGCGUUAUCCGGAUUCAUUGUGCUAAAAGGGAGCGUAGGCGGGCGUUCAAGUCAGCUGGAAAAUCGCGCGCCUCAACCGCGCACCGCAGUUGAAACUGGACGCCUUGAGUUCACAACAGGCAGGUGGAAUUCGUGGUGUAGCGGUGAAAUGCAUAGAGAUCACGAGGAACCCCGAUUGCGAAGGCAGCCUGCCGGGGUGCGACUGACGCUGAGGCUCGAAGGUGCGGGUAUCAAACAGGAUUAGAUACCCGAGUAGUC